rnacentral:rRNA from 1 species
AGAGUUUGAUCCUGGCUCAGGACGAACGCUAGCGGCAGGCUUACACAUGCAAGUCGAGGGGUAACGAUGGUGCUUGCACCAGGCGACGACCGGCGCACGGGUGAGUAACGCGUAUGCAACCUACCUCUAACUGGGGCAUAGCUCUCGGAAACGGGAAUUAAUAUCCCAUAAUAUCAUAAAUUCGCAUGUUUUUAUGAUUAAAGCUCCGGCGGUUAGAGAUGGGCAUGCGUGCCAUUAGCUUGUUGGUGAGGUAACAGCUCACCAAGGCUACGAUGGCUAGGGGGUCUGAGAGGAUGGUCCCCCACACUGGUACUGAGACACGGACCAGACUCCUACGGGAGGCAGCAGUGAGGAAUAUUGGUCAAUGGACGCAAGUCUGAACCAGCCAUGCCGCGUGCAGGAUGAAUGCCCUAUGGGUUGUAAACUGCUUUUAUACAGGAAGAAACUUCCGAUCGUGAUCGGGACUGACGGUACUGUACGAAUAAGCAUCGGCUAACUCCGUGCCAGCAGCCGCGGAAAUACGGAGGAUGCAAGCGUUAUCCGGAUUUAUUGGGUUUAAAGGGUGCGUAGGCGGAUGAAUAAGUCAGUGGUGAAAUCCUGCAGCUUAACUGUAGAAUUGCCAUUGAUACUGUUUUUCUUGAGUAUAGUUGAGGUGGGCGGAAUGUGUAAUGUAGCGGUGAAAUGCUUAUAUAUUACACAGAACUCCAAUUGCGUAGGCAGCUCACUAAGCUAUUACUGACGCUGAGGCACGAAAGCGUGGGGAGCGAACAGGAUUAGAUACCCUGGUAGUCCACGCUGUAAACGAUGAUCACUCGUUGUUGGCGAUACACAGUCAGUGACCAAGCGAAAGCAUUAAGUGAUCCACCUGGGGAGUACGGUCGCAAGAUUGAAACUCAAAGGAAUUGACGGGGGCCCGCACAAGCGGAGGAACAUGUGGUUUAAUUCGAUGAUACGCGAGGAACCUUACCUGGGCUUAGAUGCAGAACGACAGAUUGGGAAACUGAUCUUUCUUCGGACGGACUGCAAGGUGCUGCAUGGUUGUCGUCAGCUCGUGCCGUGAGGUGUCGGGUUAAGUCCCAUAACGAGCGCAACCCUUAUCGUUAGUUACCAGCGAGUAAUGUCGGGAACUCUAACGAAACUGCCGGUGUAAACCGUGAGGAAGGUGGGGAUGACGUCAAAUCAGCACGGCCCUUAUGUCCAGGGCUACACACGUGUUACAAUGGUCAGUACAAAGGGCAGCUACC